UUAUCUUCAUUGAAAUUUCCAAACUACGAAAAAAUUUAUUAUUGCUCAUAACCUGAUUCCACAGUUUGAGUUAAACAUCAGAUUAAAUAUAAAGUUGAGAUAUGCGGAUUUACAUUUUUUUUGCUGUCAUAUUUCUACUAUGUUUCACAUGUGAGGCUGCUGCUGUUGAACGACUGGGUGGUGUAGUAGAUCAAUUUAUUAAAAUAUUGGUCGAGUGUCUAGCCAAAAUUCAAGUAGCUUUUCUAGAUUCCAUAAAGAGGGGGAAUGAAAUAGUGAAGCAUUUCUCUAGCUUUCUAGCAUUAGGUCCUCGGAUCUUGAAUUAAAUCCAAAUUGGAAUGAAAGAACCAAUAAAAUGUUGGCAAUAUUGA